AUGUCGAGAGCCCUCGCGCGGCGCGCGGCCCCCCCAUUCCUGAGGCUGCGCUCCACGGCGGGCUACGACGGACAAUGGAUCGGCCGGCUGGACCACAAGGACUGGCUCGCCCCGAACGAGGUCCUCAAGAUCUUCGCGAGCAUCAGGGACGCCGCUCUGAUAACCAGCGUGUUCAAGAAAGCCUGCGCCCGGCGCGACUACAAGCCCAGCGAGGCCCUCUACGGCCUGAUGAUCGACCGGCUCGCCGGCGCCAGGCGGUUCGGCGACGUGGAGGAGCUGCUGGCCCGGGCGAGGGCCGAGCGGUUCCGGUUCUCCGACGAGUUCUUCUACAGGCUCAUCAAGAUGUACGGCAAUGUGGCCAACCACCCCGAGAAGGCCAUGGAGACGCUCUGCGCGAUGCCCGAGUACGGCUGCUGGCCCUCCACCAAGACCUUCAACUAUGUGCUCCACAUGCUCGUCUGCAGGCGGCAGUACGAGGUUGUUCAUGAGGUGUACGCCAGCGCGCCCAGGCUGGGCGUGGAGCUCGACACCCGCUGCUUCAACAUCCUUAUCAGGGGGCUGUGCCAAUUUGGGAGAUUCAAUGAGGCCCUUUCGCUGCUGGAUGAGAUGCCGAAGCAGGAGUGCCGGCCUAAUGCGACGACCUACUCGACGCUGAUGCAUUUCCUCUGCCGGAACUGUCGAGUGGAUGAGGCAUUUCAGCUGUUUGAGAGAAUGCGCAAGGAGGAAAUUGAUGCGGAUACGGUUGUUUACAAUAUAUUGGUAUCUGGUCUCUGCAGAGAGGGAAGGGUGACCUCUGCAUAUGAUCUGUUCAAGUCGAUGUCGUCUGAGGGCUGCCAUCCUAAUUCAGGGACUUAUCAGGUACUGCUUGAUGGCCUCGUGGCGUCAAAGAAGUUUGUGGAGGCGAAGGACCUAGUUACUAUGAUGAGUGCUGAAGGUCUGAGGCCUAGUUUCUCAUCGUACAAGCUGCUAAUUGAUGGACUCUGUAGUUUUAACUGCUUAGAUGAUGCACAUCUUGUCUUGAAGCAAAUGGUGGACCAAGGUUUUGUUCCUAGGAUGGGUACUUGGACAAAACUUCUUACAUCCUUAUGCUGA
rnacentral:rRNA from 1 species